rnacentral:rRNA from 2 species
GCGAUACCGCGAGGUGAAGCCAAUCCCAAAAAGCCAGUCUCAGUUCGGAUUGCAGGCUGCAACUCGCCUGCAUGAAGUCGGAAUCGCUAGUAAUCGCGGAUCAGCAUGCCGCGGUGAAUACGUUCCCGGGCCUUGUACACACCGCCCGUCACACCACGAGAGUUUGCAACACCCGAAGUCGGUGAGGGAACCUACCCACCCCACAAAGUACUACUUUGCGGGGAACCCCGGGAAGGACCCAGCCGCCGAAGGUGGGGCAGAUGAUUGGGGUGAAGUCGUAACAAGGUAUCCCUACCGGAAGGUGGGGAUGGAUCACCUCCUUUCUA